GGAUGAACGCUGGCGGCGUGCUUAAUACAUGCAAGUCGAACGGACCGAGCCUAGUGGGAAGCUCAGUGAAGGCGGGGAAGGCAGAAAUGUUGGAACUGCUGGAAGUGAGUGGAAAGCUAAAAUCGGUUAGUGGCAGACGGGUGAGUAACACGUGGGUGACCUGCCCCAAAGUGGGGAAUAACUGUCCGAAAGGGCAGCUAAUACCGCAUGUGAUCCACCGUUAUGGCGGUGGAUGAAAGGCUCUAUGAGUCGCUUUGGGAGGGGCCCGCGGCCUAUCAGCUAGUUGGUGGGGUAAGAGCCUACCAAGGCGAUGACGGGUAGCUGGUCUGAGAGGAUGAUCAGCCACAUUGGCACUGAGACACGGGCCAAACUCCUACGGGAGGCAGCAGUAAGGAAUAUUGCACAAUGGGGGAAACCCUGAUGCAGCAACGCCGCGUGGGCGAUGAAGGCCUUCGGGUCGUAAAGCCCUUUUCUGGGGGAAGAGGAAGGACAGUACCUCAGGAAUAAGUCUCGGCUAACUACGUGCCAGCAGCCGCGGUAAAACGUAGGAGGCGAGCGUUAUCCGGAUUUACUGGGCGUAAAGCGCGUGCAGGCGGCUGCGCAAGUUGGGCGUGAAAUCUCCCGGCUCAACUGGGAGGGGUCGUUCAAAACUGCGUAGCUUGAGGGCAGGAGAGGGAAGUGGAAUUCCCGGUGUAGCGGUAAUAUGCGCAGAUAUCGGGAGGAACACCAGUGGCGAAGGCGGCUUCCUGGCCUGUACCUGACGCUCAGACGCGAAAGCUAGGGUAGCGAACGGGAUUAGAUACCCCGGUAGUCCUAGCUGUAAACGAUGGAUACUAGGUGUGGGCGGUAUUGACCCCGCCUGUGCCGAAGCCAACGCGUUAAGUAUCCCGCCUGGGGAGUACGACCGCAAGGUUAAAACUCAAAGGAAUUGACGGGGGCCCGCACAAGCAGCGGAGCGUGUGGUUUAAUUCGAUGCAACGCGAAGAACCUUACCAGGGCUUGACAUGCACGUGGUAGCGGAGCGAAAGCCGAGCGACCCUUCGGGGAGCGUGCACAGGUGCUGCAUGGCUGUCGUCAGCUCGUGCCGUGAGGUGUUGGGUUAAGUCCCGCAACGAGCGCAACCCUCGUCGCUAGUUAGAUCUUUCUAGCGAGACUGCCGGUACAACACCGGAGGAAGGUGGGGAUGAGGUCAAGUCCUCAUGGCCCUUACGGGCUGGGCUACACACGUGCUACAAUGGUGGUGACAGUGGGCAGCGAAGGAGCGAUCCGGAGCUAAUCUCCAAAAGCCAUCUCAGUUCGGAUUGCACUCUGCAACUCGGGUGCAUGAAGUUGGAAUCGCUAGUAAUCGCGGAUCAGCAUGCCGCGGUGAAUACGUUCCCGGGCCU
rnacentral:rRNA from 1 species